UCAGCUUACGUUCUCAGAUAUAACCAAUAUAUAACUAAUACUUAACCAGUAUAUAACCAAUUUAUAACCAUUUUAUAACCAAAAUUCAAUUAUGUUUGAAUAUGAGUGGUUUCUAUUAUAUCGUUUUUUCUUCGCCUGUAAACUUAUGAAAAUUGAUGUUACCUUAUUUUGCAUUUUAGGUGACAAUAUAGUAUUUUUCCAAAUUAACAUGUCAAAUUAUUGCAUCAGUUCAUAUAACAAACUUGCUUCAAUAUUUGUAUGCAUAUGAAAAAUAAAUUAGUUCAGUGAAAGCAAAAUUACUUGAAAUUACGUAUACGCCAUGACCAACUUUGAUAUGAAAGCCAUAAUAUGCCUUCAUAGCAUGGCAAUCGAGUUAAGUUUUUCUAAAACUCCAGUUAAAAUAGUAUCUAUAUACAACUUUUAGGAAACAUACUUUUUAUGGCUGUGUGUAUUUUUUAUUAAAUUUUCGAUUGCACUUUUAAAGUAACUUAAAAGAAAAUGAUGCAGUCAAUCUGGAAAUGCUAUGGAUGUGAUUGGAACGCAUUGUUUCCAAGGAUUUUAAUGAAUUGAAUACAUAUUAUAUUAAAAAAAAGAAAUUAUA